rnacentral:rRNA from 1 species
AGCUCCAAAAGCGUAUAUUAAAGUUGUUGCAGUUAAAAAGCUCGUAGUUGAACCUUGGGCUUGGUUGGCCGGUCCAUCUUUCUAAUGCGUACUGGACCCAACCGAGCCUUUCCUUCUGGCUAGCCUUUUGGCGAACCAGGACUUUUACUUUGAAAAAAUUAGAGUGUUCAAAGCAGGCCUUUGCUCGAAUAUAUUAGCAUGGAAUAAUAGAAUAGGACGUUAUGGUUCUAUUUUGUUGGUUUCUAGGACCAUCGUAAUGAUUAAUAGGGACGGUCGGGGGUAUCAGUAUUCAGUUGUCAGAGGUGAAAUUCUUGGAUUUACUGAAGACUAACUACUGCGAAAGCAUUUACCAAGGACGUUUUCA